GCCUAACACAUGCAAGUCGAGCGGAUGAAGGGAGCUUGCUCCUGGAUUCAGCGGCGGACGGGUGAGUAAUGCCUAGGAAUCUGCCUGGUAGUGGGGGAUAACGUCCGGAAACGGGCGCUAAUACCGCAUACGUCCUGAGGGAGAAAGUGGGGGAUCUUCGGACCUCACGCUAUCAGAUGAGCCUAGGUCGGAUUAGCUAGUUGGUGGGGUAAAGGCCUACCAAGGCGACGAUCCGUAACUGGUCUGAGAGGAUGAUCAGUCACACUGGAACUGAGACACGGUCCAGACUCCUACGGGAGGCAGCAGUGGGGAAUAUUGGACAAUGGGCGAAAGCCUGAUCCAGCCAUGCCGCGUGUGUGAAGAAGGUCUUCGGAUUGUAAAGCACUUUAAGUUGGGAGGAAGGGCAGUAAGUUAAUACCUGCUGU
rnacentral:rRNA from 1 species